AGAAAAAAAUUGUAUCAGAUUAAAAUUGUGGAUGGAUUUUUUUGUAAUAACCAGUUAAAUUCGCAAUUUCGUUACAUUUUUUCGGGGUUUUCCAGGAAUUGAACGAGAAAGUGUAAAUGCUGGUUCUGAUGAUAAACAAACUUGAAGCAUCGUAAUUUGUGACCAAAAAUGGUCACUCGGAGUUUCUUGGAGUAAUAAUAAUCGAGACCAGUGCGCUGUGCAGGAUUUUUGUAUCCAACCGGCCAAUAUGGGUAGCAUUCCAGUACUGUCCCUACCGAUUCGGCUUUGAAACGAGGUCUCUCAAUAAGUUUGCAACUAAUGGGACCCAGUUUUUCGGAGCAGCAAUUAUUUCAAUCAGCACGUUGGAUAGAAAAAGUUGAAGAUUUUUUAGAAAAGUAUAAUUUUAAUAUAAAUAUAAUAAACAAAUAAAGUUGAAUUUUAGUUGAA